UAUCUCUGUAGAGUCUGCAUAUCAAUAAGCGGAGGAAAAGAAACUAACAAGGAUUCCCUUAGUAACGGCGAGUGAAGCGGGAAGAGCUCAAAUUUGAAAUCUUCAAGGUUCUACCUUGACGAAUUGUAGUUUAAAGAAGUGUUUUCUGUUAGAUGAGUAGCAAAUAGUUCCUUGGAAUGGGACAUCAUAGAGGGUGAGAAUCCCGUAUUUGGUUAUUCAUUCUAGCUUUGUGAUACACUUUCAAAGAGUCGGAUUGUUUGGGAAUGCAGUCCAAAAUGGGUGGUAAAUUUCAUCUAAAGCUAAAUAUUGGCGAGAGACCGAUAGCGAACAAGUACCGUGAGGGAAAGAUGAAAAGAACUUUGAAAAGAGAGUUAAACAGUACGUGAAAUUGUCAAAAGGGAAGCGUUUGACACCAGUGUUGUUUUUCCGAAAAUCAAUUACGAAUGGCUUGAUUUUGUGUUGUAUUGACCUUAUCAGCUUUCUGCACUUUUUUCGAGUCUUUCUUAAUGCACUUUUCGGUUAACAAGUCAACAUCAAUUUCUUUUGUUGUAAAAGAGUAUUCGGAAGGUGGCUUUCUUUUCGGAGAAAGUGUUUAUAGCCCUAUACUUCUACAAUCGGAGAGAUUGAGGUCUGCAGCGUAGAUCCUUCGGGGUUAGAUACAUUUGUGCUAAGUUGUAGCUUUUCAUAGACAACUUGUUGACUAUGUUUAGUCAUGCGGCUUACUCGCUUAUGCUAUUUUACCUACGCUUAGGAUGUUGACUGAUAUGUAGUCGUA
rnacentral:rRNA from 1 species